AAUGAAAAAAAAUUUCAGGCGCUUAGAGUCAGCAUAAGUGCUUCAUGCUAUACAUUCUCAAAGCUCGUCAAUACUUUUGUAAAACUUGGAAACUUAAAGGGGUUAAAACUUUAUGAUCCGACAACGAGACUUCCGAUCGGGGAUCUUAUAAAACCCUUUCCCUAUUUGGAGGAUUUGCAAAUCGAAUUUGGACUAUUUCAAGGCAGAAUUAACAUAUAUGAGUUGCUCCUGCCACUCAAAAAUCUGCGUUUUCUGAAGGUUGGCUUAUUGGGAGAGAUACCCCAAGUACCCACUUCCGAGAUGCUCGUCGCACUGGAAACGUGUUAUAUACAUAGUUCCAUCAUAACUUCAGAAUUACCUGUCUUGCCCAAGCUGAAGACGAUUGGGUUCUAUAAUAAUUUUUGCCAACCGUCAAACAUUUCAUUAAAUUGGAUUUUGAAUCAUGCCACCACUCUGGAGAAGGUGAGCUUUUGGGUCGACGGAUUAAACAAAAGCAACAUCUUCGAAAUAAUUAAAAAAUGCACAUUGCUCCGUGAGUUCCGGCUGAAGAACGAAAUAGAGUCCUUCAUAACAAAGGAGUUUGUGGAACAAAUAAAUUCCAUUUUAAAAGGCAAUGGCUACACUAGCGAAAAUCCCUUGGACCUUGUGCUUUGCGGCAAAAGCUACGAGCGUGUAAAGCAGAUCAUUGGCGGCCAGCGUUAUGAUUGUAUCUAUUUCCUCUGCAGCUUGUGGUAUUAGGAUGAAAUUGAAAAAAAAUAAAUCUUUUGAGUACUUUGUUUUAUUUAAAAAAGUAAAGAACAAUAAUAAAGCAUAGCAAAACUAUUUA